UACGUAGGGUGCGAGCGUUAAUCGGAAUUACUGGGCGUAAAGCGUGCGCAGGCGGUUCGUCGUGUCCGAUGUGAAAGCCCCGGGCUCAACCUGGGAAUGGCAUUGGAAACCGGCGGGCUUGAGUGUGGCAGAGGGGGGUGGAAUUCCGCGUGUAGCAGUGAAAUGCGUAGAGAUGCGGAGGAACACCGAUGGCGAAGGCAGCCCCCUGGGCUGACACUGACGCUCAGGCACGAAAGCGUGGGGAGCAAACAGG
rnacentral:rRNA from 1 species